rnacentral:rRNA from 1 species
AAAUUGAAGAGUUUGAUCAUGGCUCAGAUUGAACGCUGGCGGCAGGCCUAACACAUGCAAGUCGAACGGUAACAGGAAGAAGCUUGCUUCUUUGCUGACGAGUGGCGGACGGGUGAGUAAUGUCUGGGAAACUGCCUGAUGGAGGGGGAUAACUACUGGAAACGGUAGCUAAUACCGCAUAACGUCGCAAGACCAAAGAGGGGGACCUUCGGGCCUCUUGCCAUCGGAUGUGCCCAGAUGGGAUUAGCUUGUUGGUGGGGUAACGGCUCACCUAGGCGACGAUCCCUAGCUGGUCUGAGAGGAUGACCAGCCACACUGGAACUGAGACACGGUCCAGACUCCUACGGGAGGCAGCAGUGGGGAAUAUUGCACAAUGGGCGCAAGCCUGAUGCAGCCAUGCCGCGUGUAUGAAGAAGGCCUUCGGGUUGUAAAGUACUUUCAGCGGGGAGGAAGGGAGUAAAGUUAAUACCUUUGCUCAUUGACGUUACCCGCAGAAGAAGCACCGGCUAACUCCGUGCCAGCAGCCGCGGUAAUACGGAGGGUGCAAGCGUUAAUCGGAAUUACUGGGCGUAAAGCGCACGCAGGCGGUUUGUUAAGUCAGAUGUGAAAUCCCCGGGCUCAACCUGGGAACUGCAUCUGAUACUGGCAAGCUUGAGUCUCGUAGAGGGGGGUAGAAUUCCAGGUGUAGCGGUGAAAUGCGUAGAGAUCUGGAGGAAUACCGGUGGCGAAGGCGGCCCCCUGGACGAAGACUGACGCUCAGGUGCGAAAGCGUGGGGAGCAAACAGGAUUAGAUACCCUGGUAGUCCACGCCGUAAACGAUGUCGACUUGGAGGUUGUGCCCUUGAGGCGUGGCUUCCGGAGCUAACGCGUUAAGUCGACCGCCUGGGGAGUACGGCCGCAAGGUUAAAACUCAAAUGAAUUGACGGGGGCCCGCACAAGCGGUGGAGCAUGUGGUUUAAUUCGAUGCAACGCGAAGAACCUUACCUGGUCUUGACAUCCACGGAAGUUUUCAGAGAUGAGAAUGUGCCUUCGGGAACCGUGAGACAGGUGCUGCAUGGCUGUCGUCAGCUCGUGUUGUGAAAUGUUGGGUUAAGUCCCGCAACGAGCGCAACCCUUAUCCUUUGUUGCCAGCGGUCCGGCCGGGAACUCAAAGGAGACUGCCAGUGAUAAACUGGAGGAAGGUGGGGAUGACGUCAAGUCAUCAUGGCCCUUACGACCAGGGCUACACACGUGCUACAAUGGCGCAUACAAAGAGAAGCGACCUCGCGAGAGCAAGCGGACCUCAUAAAGUGCGUCGUAGUCCGGAUUGGAGUCUGCAACUCGACUCCAUGAAGUCGGAAUCGCUAGUAAUCGUGGAUCAGAAUGCCACGGUGAAUACGUUCCCGGGCCUUGUACACACCGCCCGUCACACCAUGGGAGUGGGUUGCAAAAGAAGUAGGUAGCUUAACCUUCGGGAGGGCGCUUACCACUUUGUGAUUCAUGACUGGGGUGAAGUCGUAACAAGGUAACCGUAGGGGAACCUGCGGUUGGAUCACCUCCUUA